GCCCGCGUGGUGGAAUGGUAGACACAGGGGACUUAAAAUCCCCGGGCUUCGGCCAUGCCGGUUCGAGUCCGGCCGCGGGCA
rnacentral:tRNA from 1 species